rnacentral:lncRNA from 1 species
UCUCCAUGGUGCUGUCGGUCCAGAAGGCCUCGUGAAGGCCGGAGGGGCGGUUGAAAAAGGCGGCUGAGUCUGAGAUGUAUGAACAGGUGGUGUCUGCGCCGGUUGUGAACCGUGAAGCCUAGUCUGAGACUGUUGGGUAGGUCGGAUGAUCAUGUGGUCAAGAGCAGGGGAAUAUGAACCGGGCGUAAUACUGCCUCGCAUCCUUGGACGCCAGUUGGUUGAAUCAGGAGUAACCGAGUCCACAUCCAUUAGGUCACUGAUUCGGGAAACUAAUUGAACAGGGGGACUGCUCGGGCGCUGCGUCUGAGUGGUUACAUGGCCACUGUUUAGACUUCUCACAAAAUAACUGUUAGGCUGGCCAGAGAGUACUCUAGGGAUACGCGGAGGCUGAGCCAAAGAUGAAACAUUCCCAGGAGACUGGCUCGUAACUUGAACUGGUUGCCUCCGGCUCUGCAAGAAAGACAUAUCAUCAACAUAUGAAUACUCACUUGAGAGGAGAAAGUAGAAUCCUCAAACGGAUACACUAACCUGUGAUGAACUUGUCAUUAAAGGUCUCUGACUAGAGAUUCCAUUAAGAUAUGUUCCGGCGGGAGUAACAGGCGAAGCAUGAACCUGGGAGAGUUGAGGAGAUGGAAAGACGGUGGAAGUAGUAGCUGGUGUCUCUCCUGGAGAUGGUACCUGUGAGAAUGACGCAGGUACAGGUGUUGGAUCUUGAGGCAUUGGUAUUUGAGAGUAUUCUUGACCAGUUCCAGUACUCAACUGAUCUAGCAUCACCUGGUCAAGUGAUAUCACAUCAGAGAAAUUAAACACAGCGCAGUAAUCUUCGGCUGCAGGAUCUUUGCUUCCGUUGUUGUUAUUAGAUUGACCCUGAGCAUCUGCAAGGUGGGGCUUCUGGUCCACAACCUUGUUGGUGUUACCAAAUAGUUCAAUAUCAGCAUCAUUCUCAUCAUCCCCAGUAAGAUCUAAGACAACUGGACCGGCAUUGAACAAGCUAUUUGGGUCUUCAAGAUCAUGGAUUACAUCACGAACAGGUUCCUCGUUCCCAUUAUUUUCCCUUCCAACCUUCCAUGUGCCACCAGCAUGGAUGAUUACAUCAGCAGCCUUAUGCCCCGCUUCUUUUAAUAUCUGAGAGCAUAUGAUAUGGGACGAGUUAUAUCUAUAUUAAGAUGCAAAUACAAAAAUGCAGCUAGCAAGCAGUAAGCAAAUCACAGCACAGAGAGAUACUUGCCUUGACCAUGUUUUGAUCUAAACGGAUCUCUGGGUAGGAAACAGGUUGAUUGCAAUGAGGGCAGCGCCAGGAUGGUUUUCUCAUGUUUAUGUAGACAUAAUUCGAGAAAUCAAAACACUGCAGCAGAACAAAAAUAGCUAUAUUACUAACAAAGAUUGAGAGAAUCACACAGUGUCUUCAGAAAGAGUCUUUCAACUCUGUAGUUAUCAAAAUCCUAGAUCACCUGAAGAUGUUUACAGAACUGGCCCUUGACUGGAAGCUUUAUUCGGCUGUGACUGUUUUAAUAUAAGACUAAAAUUAACGACCAAAGACAAUCAUAACACAACAAAGUAGUAAAUAAAAAAAAGGCAAAAGUAGUACCUGAUAGGACAUCUGAGAGAUACUCGUGAUGGCCCCUCAAUGAUGUCAGAAUCUAUAUACAAACCAAAAAAAAUCAUUAAGGAUUUGCAGUGCAUAAAAAAAAUCAUUACUCUCAUCUUAUGAUCUUGAAUUACCUGGAGUUGACUCUACAGCUCCGGACUGAAUGUACUCUUUAAGAACUGGUUUUUCAGGUGGCAGUGCUGUUCCCGUAAAAGCGAUUACAAUGAUGUAAUGGCCCUUGGAAUCUCCCAUAACUUGUAAGAGGUUUGUUCCAUAUUUGAGGAUGGCAGUAACAUUUGUUGGGAGUUGAGGCCCCGAAUCCUGAAUAGAAAUAAACAUUGACAAUAUAUAUAUACUUGAGUAAUUAUGUCAAUUUAAUACUUCUGUUGUAAUUAAUGUAAAGCUGAUUAUGGUUCUAAUCACACCCGCUACCCAACAUCUCCCAGAGAGAAAAGUAUAUAGAACAAAACAAAAAUGUAACAGUUAUGAUUGUUUUGUUCAGAUCUAUUGAUUUAUUUGUCUGCGCUUGGUAAGAUUUGUUGAUUUUAACUAGCUUCAAUUUGGCAUGUACCUUCAAAUCUAAGUCUUACAUAAUUAAAUAUAGAUUUCAUACAUUGAUCCACCUCAACUAAUUAGGAAGCUAUUUGAAAAAUAAAGACUGCUCCUAAGAUUCGCCAUUUGUGGGAUCGUUGUGUGGAAUACAACAGUACUGCCAACAUUUAUUUGUUCUUCAUCAUAACAAGUUAGCAUAAAACUAAAUACCCCCAACUAAAGACCAAGUCCAUGAAAUGCGCAUAGUGAUGAUAAGUCACAAAAGCUCAUUCUGAUAGAGUUGUCUGUCCUAAUUAAGCAUUAACUUUCCCUUGUUCUAGCCUCUCAAGAUCUCCAUGGUGCUGUCGGUCCGGAAGGCCUCGUGAAGGCCGGAGGGGCGGUUGAAAAAGGCGGCUGAGUCUGAGAUGUAUGAACAGGUGGUGUCUGCGCCGGUUGUGAACCGUGAAGCCUAGUCUGAGACUGUUGGGUAGGUCGGAUGAUCAUGUGGUCAAGAGCAGGGGAAUAUGAACCGGGCGUAAUACUGCCUCGCAUCCUUGGACGCCAGUUGGUUGAAUCAGGAGUAACCGAGUCCACAUCCAUUAG